GGUGAGGUGAUAAACCUCACUAUUCAACUUCAAGUAUCUCACGCAAUAACACCGCAUCGCGGUGAGUAUCACUUUUGGAAAAAAGUUUCAUUAAUUUGUCGGGUUUAACCCGACCUGACCCGAAUCAAUUUGUCCCCUCUAUAAGUACACCCAAACCCACUUAAUUUUCUCUCUCUAAACCCUAGCACCCCGACCCCCCACCCCAAAUCCCUUUAAAAUAUUUUCUCUCUUAUUUUCUUAGACUACAAAAGCUUAGAACAAGAUACUCCUUUUUUUCUCACUUCACAUCAGGUACUAUGGAUCGUAGACAAUAAAAAGGAAAGGACAAAGCUGGGACCUCUGAGCCAUCAAAGAAAAGAGUCAGGCAGACUGACAGAGUACCACGAGCUCCAGCAGUCCCUCGUAGUCAGGCAAGGAGGUUUGUAUAUAAGGAGGUCAACGUAGCUAGCAAGAAGUGGUAUUCAAAACACCUUGACACUAAGUACAUCCCGAAAGUGUUUAUCAAUAGGAAAGAUUAUAGUGUGAGUACCCUAGCAUGGUUCACCGAAUUGAGUAGCUGAAUAUGGCCUUUGUGUUUGACCAUCCUAUGGAGUGUAAUUUGUACCUCUUACGGGAGUUUUAUGCCAACUGGGACCCGAGAGACCCAAACCAUGAAGUGAAGAUCCGUGGAAAAGUGGUCACAUUUACAGCUAAGGACCUAAAUGACUUGUUAGGUACACCAGAAGCUGAUGCGGUGCAGUUGAGGCAGCUGAUCAUUACCCCUCCAUAUACCCAUACCCGAAACUUCUUGUGUGGAACAAGAUCUGCUGCUUGCCGGACUAGGCAGUGAGGCACUAGUCUUCAUUCAUCCUUCCCUAAAGCUCAAAUAAAUAGGGAGGCACGCAUGUGGGGAAAAAUUGUCUAUCAUUGCCUUAUUCAAAGGCAAAUACAUGACGGAAGUCACACGUGACAGGGUUUGUUGGAUAUAUGCUCUUAUGUGUAAUGAUGUUGACGUCAAUGUAGGUGUUGUGAUCUUCUCUACAAUGAAAAAGAUGCGUUACCAUGAGGAGCGCCGAAACAGUUUUGGAUGAUUAUUGAUCAGGUUCUUGAGGAGGCACAGGGUGGAGGAAGAAGAUUAAGAUUACAAGUUGGUGGUGGAUACUCGUUCGAUUGAUGUGACUAGAGUUAGGAGCAGAGCUGGAGCUCAUGGCCUGAUCCUUACUAUGCUCGAGUGUCAAGCUUGGACUGAUGAGAUUACUGCAAGAAUGUACAAACUGCAGAUGCUACAGCUGCGAGUAGGGGGAGACUGGCAACAGAGCUGGAAAUUCAUGCAGUGGAGUUGGAUUACCCGCUGGGUCACGAUGCAAGGACGUUGCUGCAGAUAGGGCCAUAGUUUGUUGAGCCUAUUGAUGAUGACGUGCCUAUCGAUGAGGAGAGGCAGUUGCGUGAUUCAGAUAUUGAAUCGGAGGACGACGAACAGCCUGAUAUGGAAGAAGCAGAUGACGAUGCAGAGGAGGAUGCCGAUGAUGAUGAAGCUAAUGAUGCAGAUAAUGACAUGGCUGAUGCCUGAGCAGGGAGCAUUAUGCCACCUUACUAUUUGCGCUUAUUUGUAAGCACUGGGACAACGCUUCAUUUUAAGUGGGGGGUGGUUGUAUCUCGUAUCUCAUUUUCUUUUUCGUAGCGCUUUGCUUUUACUUUGGUUGGAUGUUUUUCUCUUGUUGGAUGUUUAUUUUUAUUUUUAUUUUUAUUUUUAUUUUUGGAUGUUGAACUUAGUCAUUCUAACUAUUCAGAACAUUAUGGUCUGUAAUAGUUAGUAUAUAUUUAGUAAUGGUUUGCUUUUAAGU